GACGAACGCUGGCGGCGUGCUUAACACAUGCAAGUCGAACGGAAAGGCCCUGCUUUUGUGGGGUGCCCGAGUGGCGAACGGGUGCGUAACACGUGAGUAACCUGCCCUUGACUUUGGGAUAACUUCAGGAAACUGGGGCUAAUACCGUAUAGGAGCCCCUGCUGCAUGGUGGGGGUUGGAAAGUUUCGGCGGUCGGGGAUGGACUCGCGGCUUAUCAGCUUGUUGGUGGGGUAGUGGCUUACCCAGGCUGUGACGGGUAGCCGGCCUGAGAGGGUGACCGGCGACAUUGGUACUGAGAUACGGCCCAGACUCGUACGGGAGGCAACAGUGGCGAAUAUUGCACAGUGAGCGCAAGCCUGAGGCAGAGACGCCGCGUGCGUGAUGCCGGCCUUCGGGUUAUGAACCGCUUUCGCCUGUGACGAAGCGUGAGUGACGGUAAUGGGUGAAGAAGCACCGGCUAACUACGUG
rnacentral:rRNA from 1 species